rnacentral:rRNA from 1 species
UACAGAGGUCUCAAGCGUUGUUCGGAUUCAUUGGGCGUAAAGGGUGCGUAGGCGGCGCGGUAAGUCGGGUGUGAAAUCUCGGGGCUUAACUCCGAAACUGCAUUCGAUACUGCCGUGCUUGAGGACUGGAGAGGAGACUGGAAUUUACGGUGUAGCGGUGAAAUGCGUAGAUAUCGGGAGGAACACCUGUGGCGAAGGCGGCUUUCUGGGACGGUACUGACGCUGAGACGCGAAAAGCGUGGGGGAGCGAACAGG